GGUUAAGCGACUAAGCGUACACGGUGGAUGCCCUGGCAGUCAGAGGCGAUGAAGGACGUGCUAAUCUGCGAAAAGCGUCGGUAAGGUGAUAUGAACCGUUAUAACCGGCGAUGUCCGAAUGGGGAAACCCAGUGCAAUUCGUUGCACUAUCGUUAACUGAAUACAUAGGUUAACGAGGCGAACCGGGGGAACUGAAACAUCUAAGUACCCCGAGGAAAAGAAAUCAACCGAGAUUCCCCCAGUAGCGGCGAGCGAACGGGGAGCAGCCCAGAGUCUGAAUCAGCUUGUGUGUUAGUGGAACGGUCUGGAAAGUCCGACGGUACAGGGUGAUAGUCCCGUACACCAAAAUGCACAGGUUGUGAACUCGAAGAGUAGGGCGGGACACGUGGUAUCCUGUCUGAAUAUGGGGGGACCAUCCUCCAAGGCUAAAUACUCCUGACUGACCGAUAGUGAACCAGUACCGUGAGGGAAAGGCGAAAAGAACCCCGGCGAGGGGAGUGAAAAAGAACCUGAAACCGUGUACGUACAAGCAGUGGGAGCACCUUCGGGUGUGACUGCGUACCUUUUGUAUAAUGGGUCAGCGACUUAUAUUCUGUAGCAAGGUUAACCGUAUAGGGGAGCCGCAGGGAAACCGAGUCUUAACUGGGCGUUAAGUUGCAGGGUAUAGACCCGAAACCCGGUGAUCUAGCCAUGGGCAGGUUGAAGGUUGGGUAACACUAACUGGAGGACCGAACCGACUAAUGUUGAAAAAUUAGCGGAUGACUUGUGGCUGGGGGUGAAAGGCCAAUCAAACCGGGAGAUAGCUGGUUCUCCCCGAAAGCUAUUUAGGUAGCGCCUCGUGAACUCAUCUUCGGGGGUAGAGCACUGUUUCGGCUAGGGGGUCAUCCCGACUUACCAACCCGAUGCAAACUACGAAUACCGAAGAAUGUUAUCACGGGAGACACACGGCGGGUGCUAACGUCCGUCGUGAAGAGGGAAACAACCCAGACCGCCAGCUAAGGUCCCAAAGUCAUGGUUAAGUGGGAAACGAUGUGGGAAGGCACAGACAGCCAGGAUGUUGGCUUAGAAGCAGCCAUCAUUUAAAGAAAGCGUAAUAGCUCACUGGUCGAGUCGGCCUGCGCGGAAGAUGUAACGGGGCUAAACCAUGCACCGAAGCUGCGGCAGCGACACUAUGUGUUGUUGGGUAGGGGAGCGUUCUGUAAGCCUGCGAAGGUGACCUGUGAGGGUUGCUGGAGGUAUCAGAAGUGCGAAUGCUGACAUAAGUAACGAUAAAGCGGGUGAAAAGCCCGCUCGCCGGAAGACCAAGGGUUCCUGUCCAACGUUAAUCGGGGCAGGGUGAGUCGACCCCUAAGGCGAGGCCGAAAGGCGUAGUCGAUGGGAAACAGGUUAAUAUUCCUGUACUUGGUGUUACUGCGAAGGGGGGACGGAGAAGGCUAUGUUAGCCGGGCGACGGUUGUCCCGGUUUAAGCAUGUAGGCUGGUUAUCCAGGCAAAUCCGGAUAAUCAAGGCUGAGGUGUGAUGACGAGGCACUACGGUGCUGAAGUAACAAAUGCCCUGCUUCCAGGAAAAGCCUCUAAGCAUCAGGUAACAUCAAAUCGUACCCCAAACCGACACAGGUGGUCAGGUAGAGAAUACCAAGGCGCUUGAGAGAACUCGGGUGAAGGAACUAGGCAAAAUGGUGCCGUAACUUCGGGAGAAGGCACGCUGGUGUGUAGGUGAAGUCCCUGCGGAUGGAGCUGAGACCAGUCGAAGAUACCAGCUGGCUGCAACUGUUUAUUAAAAACACAGCACUGUGCAAACACGAAAGUGGACGUAUACGGUGUGACGCCUGCCCGGUGCCGGAAGGUUAAUUGAUGGGGUUAUCCGUAAGGAGAAGCUCUUGAUCGAAGCCCCGGUAAACGGCGGCCGUAACUAUAACGGUCCUAAGGUAGCGAAAUUCCUUGUCGGGUAAGUUCCGACCUGCACGAAUGGCGUAAUGAUGGCCAGGCUGUCUCCACCCGAGACUCAGUGAAAUUGAACUCGCUGUGAAGAUGCAGUGUACCCGCGGCAAGACGGAAAGACCCCGUGAACCUUUACUAUAGCUUGACACUGAACAUUGAGCCUUGAUGUGUAGGAUAGGUGGGAGGCUUUGAAGCGUGGACGCCAGUCUGCGUGGAGCCAACCUUGAAAUACCACCCUUUAAUGUUUGAUGUUCUAACGUUGGCCCCUGACCGGGGUUGCGGACAGUGUCUGGUGGGUAGUUUGACUGGGGCGGUCUCCUCCCAAAGCGUAACGGAGGAGCACGAAGGUUAGCUAAUCCUGGUCGGACAUCAGGAGGUUAGUGCAAUGGCAUAAGCUAGCUUGACUGCGAGCGUGACGGCGCGAGCAGGUGCGAAAGCAGGUCAUAGUGAUCCGGUGGUUCUGAAUGGAAGGGCCAUCGCUCAACGGAUAAAAGGUACUCCGGGGAUAACAGGCUGAUACCGCCCAAGAGUUCAUAUCGACGGCGGUGUUUGGCACCUCGAUGUCGGCUCAUCACAUCCUGGGGCUGAAGUAGGUCCCAAGGGUAUGGCUGUUCGCCAUUUAAAGUGGUACGCGAGCUGGGUUUAGAACGUCGUGAGACAGUUCGGUCCCUAUCUGCCGUGGGCGCUGGAGAAUUGAGGGGGGCUGCUCCUAGUACGAGAGGACCGGAGUGGACGCAUCACUGGUGUUCGGGUUGUCAUGCCAAUGGCACUGCCCGGUAGCUAAAUGCGGAAGAGAUAAGUGCUGAAAGCAUCUAAGCACGAAACUUGCCCCGAGAUGAGUUCUCCCUGAGACUUUAAGUCUCCUGAAGGAACGUUAAAGACGAUGACGUUGAUAGGCCGGGUGUGUAAGCGCAGCGAUGCGUUGAGCUAACCGGUACUAAUGAACCGUGAGGCUUAACCUU
rnacentral:rRNA from 2 species